GACGAACGCUGGCGGCGUGCUUAACACAUGCAAGUCGAACGGAAGGGCCCUGCUUUUGUGGGGUUCUCGAGUGGCGAACGGGUGAGUAACACGUGAGUAACCUGCCCUUGACUUUGGGAUAACUUCAGGAAACUGGGGCUAAUACCGGAUAGGAGCUCCUGCUGCAUGGUGGGGGUUGGAAAGUUUCGGCGGGUGGGGAUGGACUGGCGGCUUAUCAGCUUGUUGGUGGGGUAGUGGCUUACCAAGGCUUUGACGGGUAGCCGGCCUGAGAGGGUGACCGGCCACAUUGGGACUGAGAUACGGCCCAGACUCCUACGGGAGGCAGCAGUGGGGAGUAUGGCACAAUGGGCGGAAGCCUGAUGAAGCAACGCCGCGUGCGGGAUGACGGCCUUCGGGUUGUAAACCGCUUUCGCCUGUGACGAAGCGUGAGUGACGGUAAUGGGUAAAGAAGCACCGGCUAACUACGUG
rnacentral:rRNA from 1 species